rnacentral:rRNA from 1 species
AACGAACGCUGGCGGCAGGCCUAACACAUGCAAGUCGAGCGAGCAUUUCGGUGCUAGCGGCGGACGGGUGAGUAACGCGUGGGAACGUGCCCUUUUCUGCGGAAUAGUCCUGGGAAACUGGGGGUAAUACCGCAUACGCCCUUUUGGGGAAAGAUUUAUCGGAGAAGGAUCGGCCCGCGUUGGAUUAGGUAGUUGGUGGGGUAAUGGCCCACCAAGCCGACGAUCCAUAGCUGGUUUGAGAGGAUGAUCAGCCACACUGGGACUGAGACACGGCCCAGACUCCUACGGGAGGCAGCAGUGGGGAAUCUUAGACAAUGGGGGCAACCCUGAUCUAGCCAUGCCGCGUGAGUGAUGAAGGCCUUAGGGUUGUAAAGCUCUUUCAGCUGGGAAGAUGAUGACGGUACCAGCAGAAGAAGCCCCGGCUAACUCCGUG